rnacentral:rRNA from 1 species
AUCCCUUAGUAACGGCGAGUGAACAGGGAGAAGCCCAGCACCGAAGCCUGCGGUCGUUUGGCCGUCAGGCAAUGUGGUGUUCAGGUCAAUCCGCGGAGGCACUGCUCCACCCCAAGUCCAAUUCUGAGUACGGUUGUACGGACAUGGCCCAAGGAGGGUGAAAGGCCCGUGGGGGUGGAGCUCAGUUUGGCCAGUGUUUCUCUGGGAAGACCUUGGAGUCGGGGUGUUUGUGAAUGCA